rnacentral:rRNA from 1 species
ACGGGGGGUGCAAGCGUUGUCCGGAAUCAUUGGGCGUAAAGAGCGCGUAGGCGGCUGAACAAGUCAGAUGUGAAAUCGCUGGGCUUAACCCAGGAAGGGCAAUUGAAACUGUUCAGCUUGAGUGAGGGAGAGGAAAGCGGAAUUCCUGGUGUAGCGGUGAAAUGCGUAGAUAUCAGGAGGAACACCGGUGGCGAAGGCGGCUUUCUGGACUGAUUCUGACGCUGAGGCGCGAGAGCGUGGGUAGCGAACAG